UACGAAGGGGGCUAGCGUUGCUCGGAAUUACUGGGCGUAAAGGGCGCGUAGGCGGGUCGUUAAGUUAGAGGUGAAAGCCCAGGGCUCAACCCUGGAAUUGCCUUUGAUACUGGCGGCCUUGAGUAUGGCAGAGGUGUGUGGAACUCCGAGUGUAGAGGUGAAAUUCGUAGAUAUUCGGAAGAACACCAGUGGCGAAGGCGACUUACCGGACACAUAUUGACGCUGAGGUGCGAAAAGCGUGGGGAGCAAACAGG
rnacentral:rRNA from 1 species